UCCAAAACCCUUGGAAACGUGACGCGAGC
rnacentral:piRNA from 1 species